rnacentral:rRNA from 1 species
CGCCCUAUAGUUUGAAACCCCGAAACCAGGUGAGCUACCCCGAGACAGCCUAUAUAAAUUUAGGGCUAACCCGUCUCUGUGGCAAAAGAGUGGGAAGAGCUCCGGGUAGAAGUGACAGACCUACCGAACCUGGUGAUAGCUGGUUGCCUGAGAAGUGGAUAGAAGUUCAGCCUCGUACACCCCUAAUCAAAUAAUAUAACAUUAAGAUACAAGGAAACAUAUGAGAGUUAGUUAAAGGGGGUACAGCCCCUCUAACAAAGGAUACAACCUUUACAGGAGGAUAAAGAUCAUAAUAUACAAAAUAUCCUGUUUUAGUGGGCCUAAAAGCAGCCAUCUAAACAGAAAGCGUUAAAGCUCAGACAGAAUAUAAUUUUUUAUACUGAUAAUAAAUCUCAUUCCCCUAAAAAUAUCAGGCUAACCCAUGCACCCAUGGAAGAAAUUAUGCUAAAAUGAGUAACAAGAAGACCCGUUCUUCUCCAAGCACAGGUGUAAACCAGAUCGGACUAACCGCUGGAAAUUAACGAACCCAACUCAAGAGAGUAUUGUGAACAAUAAAAAAACCAAGAAAACCCCACAAUUAAAAGAUCGUUAACCCCACACUGGAGUGCUAUUCUAAAGGAAAGACUAAAAGAAGGGAAAGGAACUCGGCAAACACAAGCCUCGCCUGUUUACCAAAAACAUCGCCUCCUGCAACUAAAUCGAGUAUAGGAGGUCCAGCCUGCCCAGUGACUACGGGUUCAACGGCCGCGGUAUUUUGACCGUGCAAAGGUAGCGCAAUCACUUGUCUUUUAAAUAGAGACCUGUAUGAAUGGCCAAACGAGGGCUUAACUGUCUCCCCCUUCCAGUCAGUGAAAUUGAUCUAUCCGUGCAGAAGCGGGUAUAAAUAUACAAGACGAGAAGACCCUUUGGAGCUUAAGGUACAAAAUUCAACCACGUCAAGCAACUAAACAAAAAGCAAGAACUUAGUGGAAAUUGAAAUUUUACCUUCGGUUGGGGCGACCACGGAGGAAAAAAGAGCCUCCGAGUGGAAUGGGCUACAUCCCUAAAACCAAGAGAAACAUCUCUAAGUCACAGAACAUCUGACCAAAAAUGAUCCGGCUAAUGAAGCCGAUCAACGAACCAAGUUACCCUAGGGAUAACAGCGCAAUCCUCUCCCAGAGUCCAUAUCGACGAGGGGGUUUACGACCUCGAUGUUGGAUCAGGACAUCCUAAUGGUGCAGCCG